CAAUAACGAAAGAAAGACAAUCCUUUUAUCACCAGAAAAUAAGUGUUAGUUUUCAGACAACACUUCCGCAUCUCGAUGCCUGGGUGAUGUUUUUCAGUGACCAACACAGGACUUAGGAAAAGACGUCGUGUCAUGCUGUUCAAGGUCACUGAGAUCUGGCCUUGCCCCCAGGUGUCAGACCCACUGAGGAAGACCAAGCAGGAGUUGCUUCAGAGGAGGCAUGGAUACGAACGUGGAGAGGGGAGAAGGAGAAGCCACUGCCUUGAGGAGAGUUAAGUGUCCUUUGAGACGGGAGUUAAGAUGUGCAAACAGAGGCCUAGGACAAGGAAAAUGAUCUGACUGAGAGUCCAGGGUAAACAGCAUUUGCGGAGAUUCAUAUGUAUCUGCACACACACCCUGAUCACUAAAAUUUAUCUAGACCUUUGCUAGACACUUGCGAAAGUGUGAUCCACCGGCCAGUAGCAUCAGUAUUACCUGGGAACUUGUUAGAAAUACAAAUUCUCAGGUCCUUCCCCAGACCUAAUGACUCAGCAACCUCAGGUGUUUCUUGUGCAUCUUAAAUUUGAGAAGUCCUUCUCUAGAAGGCUGAUUGGAGCUGGAAGUGGGAUGUAGUUGAAGAGGCUGGGGGCAUGUUUUAAUCCUGGCUUCAGAGGAUCAGAAUAAAAUCCAC
rnacentral:lncRNA from 1 species